AGAAAUACUAAUUAAUCAACUUAUCUAUCACUUCCCUCUGAAGAUAUUAACAUAUGAAAUGUUUUCAUUUUUUUUUUUUUUUUGUCGUCAACUUUACAGACUCAUAUAGACUCUGUAAACCAAGCCGGAAGAUAUUGAUCCAUGUGAACGACGAAAGACGGCUGAAUCCUAACACUGCGUGCUAGGCUAUCCGCCUUUGUAUUCUGCGCUCUUGGUACAUGGACGAUCUCUGAUUGUAGGAAACUUGCUCUCAGACUUUUGAUGUCUUCCAAAUAACUUGCAAACGCUGGCCACUCUUCUGGUUCCGAAACCAUCUUCACCAAUUGAGAACAAUCCGUUGCAAACGUAACCUGAGAUUGACGUAAAUUCCUCAUACAUUCCAUAGCCCAUAGUAGUGCUUCCAUCUCCGCAUGUAGAGGAGAAAGGCUAGCCCGAACAUUCCUCGCCCCCAGCAACCCAGCGAAGCCUUCUAAAGUGCUGUGCCAACCCUGGCCGGAGAAAGUAUCUUUCUCUUUC
rnacentral:lncRNA from 1 species